ensembl:lncRNA
AUGAUAAACGGAUGGGACAGUAAGCUGCUCACAGGCGUGAUUAUGCUGGUUCAUCUUCGGAUGGAGAAACUACAUCUACAUCUACAGCCAAAGGACAAAGAAGAGUUUCUCCUGCAUCACCUGUGGAAAAACAUUCAGCAAACAGGGCAAUUUAACAAGACACGAGAGAAAACACACAGAAACAGAAAGACUUCACCUGCAAGAUCUGCAACAUCAGUUUUCCUACAUCAAAGAGAAAAACUUCAGUCAAAAGAGCACAGCGCGAAGAAGGAGUUUCGCUGUGUACAGUGCAGGAAGUUUUUUUUUCACCACUCUUUAUAAUAUGAGAGCUCAUAUAAAGACACACGAGGACAGGUCUUUCCACUGCAGUGAAUGUGACAAGUAUUUUCGCAACAAUAGAAAUCUUUCUAUUAAUAAGAGAACCCACACAGGUGAAAAACCGUACACGUGCCCUCACUGUAAGAAGAGCUUCAGUCUCAGAUCGGCUCUGAAGAACCAUCUACUCAUGCACACCAGUGAGAAAGCGUAUCAGUGCAAUGAGUGUGGAAAAUCUUUUAUAAGCUCAGCUUCUCUAUAGUUACACCACAAAAUGCACUCUGAUGAGAAACCGUAUCAGUGUUCACACAGUGAGAAACGCCUCCGUCAUUCGACUCACCAGGAAAGCCAUGAGAGGAUUCACACGGGAGAGAAACCGUACCUGUGCUCCUACUGCGGGAAGGGCUUUGCUACAGUAGUUCAUUUGCUUUCAAAGUUCAUCAGAGACGUCACACAGGAGAAAGACUGUAUCACUGUAGUGAUUGUGGGAAGAGUUAUCUGAAGACAGCUGACUUAAAAACACCAUAUGAUUCAUAGAGGGGAAAAACCUUUUAAAUGUUCAUAAUGUGACAAGGCUUUCACUCGAUCAAACGUCCUUAAGGUCCAUGAGUAACAUCAUAUUGGAGAGAAACCUUACUGCUGCUCCAUCUGCGGUGGGAGAUUCACUUUUAAAUGGGGUUUUCAGACCCACCAGAAGAAACACGCUGCCCGAAAAUCAUCAUAGCUUCAUCAUGUAAUUAUUUUUAGGUUGUGUAUAAAGCCACCAUGUACACCAUUGACAGAUAUCAAUUUGUACAAAUAAAUAGUGUUAAAUCAGAUUUAAGGAAAGUUAC